ensembl:lncRNA
GACCUUUUCUACAAACCUUAAAGAAAGAAUAGAAAACUGUGAUGGGUUGCUCACAUGCAUUGAAUAAUUGUUACUCUCUGCACUUGUCAAAAUAGUCAACUCUGUUUUCUUAUUAAAAACUGGAGUCUUUUUAAGUGACCACUUUUAAGAAAUGAUCUAAGAACUAUGCACUCAAGAUAUUUGAAAUGGCACUGCUUCAGUUUAUUCUUUUAUAUUCAGAGAUGCACAUCAUACAAGAGGAAAGCUGACAGCCUUCAAAGCAACACAGUGAAAAGAUAAAGCCUUCGCCAUGUCUCACUUAGGUAACAAAUUCUACCUGUUACCUGGAGGAUAAAAUAAUUUACUACGAUCGAAAAGGUGGAUUAGUAACUAACAACAUUUUGAUGCAGCCACCACAAUUUCCACCAAACAAGAGAAACUGGUCCCCAGAGGCCCCGCUCGGGCCCUUACCCACCACGACAUCGAGGAGGACCAGGCGCCUUCGGCUUCAGCUCCACAGGCUCCAAAGAGCUAAGCCUGCUCCCCAGCCCGGGCGCCAGCACCAGCUCUUUUAUACUUGCUGGCCACACAGCCCCAGCUGUUCUCAAUUUAGGAAAGCAGUAUUUUAGUCGUGCUGCAGAACCCAACCACCUGAAGAGGUUUGCAAACCUCGUAAUUAGUCCCCACCCAGAGAACACUGCACAAUUUAAGCAUAAUCCUUUGCAUUUCAAAGGCUUCCCUUUCAGUAACUUAGAGAAAAAAUAAGGGGGAGGAAAAACUCAAAGUGGUGACAGCUAAGCCUUUUUUAAUCAAAGAAAAAAGAAGUUAGCAUGGCCCAGUCAAUCCGAACAGGCGGUAUCUGUGGACAGUGGUGAACGGCAAGGAGAUCCACCACAAGUGUUCACUGUGCACCUCAUGCCCCAGCGCUGAGGGCUACGCAGGGGCAAUUAAUUAAAAGGAGUGGAAACCAAAAAUACAGUGACCUAAACAUGGCCCCAGACCUGGCCGUCUAACUGAAGAGACAGAACUAGAACUGAAUGGCACAGUGUAAAGGAAGGAGGCGGCGAGCACCAGGCAGGGCCGGAGCUUUCGAGCAUCCCUGCUCCCCGGCAAGAGGCAUCCCGAGAGGCGGCCGUCCAUUUUUGAGGAGGUGGAAGCAAGAGGACGGCGAGCCUGGCAGAGAAACGGAGGCUCGCUGGAGGAUGGAGACGGGCUGAGAGGCAUUACUGAGGGUUUCCGACACCUCACCUUCCUCUUGUCCCUGUGAAGCCCCCAGCUGCUAAGAUCAGAGCAGGAUGAGAAAGGACCAGCGUCCUCUCUGGAAAACUGGACUGGCAGCUUUCUCCAGGACCCCAGCAACAAUGUUGUGGGAAGAGUCAGCAUAAUGAAGAAGGGCCUCAGGAAGAUAUUUUCAAAGGCAAACCUUCCACGGCCCAGAUCACCACUUCUAACGGAGGUCCCAAAGCACCAGCUCGGCCAUCGCCCUCUGUCUUCACCAGCUCCAGGCCAUCCAACGCGUGGCAUCCUGCCAACCUCCCAUCCAAACUCCCUCCGACUUUACUCCCCCACAUCUGCUCUGAGCUUGGGGUUUGUAUCCAAAAGCGGCUGGUGACUCUGAAAGCCAGGGCCACCCGUGGACAUACGGAGGCUCUUUAUAAGGUAGCUACUUAGUUCUAGAACACAGAAUGUAGAACAGAAGAAAGUACAAUUAAUUUCUUUUUUUUUUUUUUUUAAAGGAAGCACUCAGUCACCCACCUCAUGGGACAACGGUGAGAAUGACUGAAAUAAUUAAUCAUGAAGCGCUUUGUGCUCCCAGGAGUAGGAGCACUCUGUGAGAGCCAAGCCCGUUUACUGUCAUUAGUGGCAGGGUUGGUAUUUUCCCUGGGAUUUCAUUAAGAAGAUUAAAUAUACAAGGCACACUCAUCAUGUGUCAACCAAUCUUGAGACGCAGUGUUUCUCAUCAAGGUGAUGAUUACAACAUAGCCAUUCCUAUGCUGAUCCUUUCCUACCGCUGUUAAUCUUUUUAUUGGAGACGGGAGAAUUCCGAUGAUCAGAUCUGAUUCCAGUCGAGUUUGGAAAGACAAAACUGCAGCCCUGGGGUUGAAGGACAGAAGCUAGCCUGCAGGAGGAGAGGAAUCUCAGAGAGAGGAGGCGUCACAGGGAAAGACAACUGAAGGAUCCGUGGACGACAUGGAACACUUGGCUUUGGUUUCUGCAAAUAACCUACUAAUGGUGAUUUAUGUUUCCUAAACUUGGGUCUAUGAAGAGGAAGCCAGCUUCCCCAGCAAACCCAACACAAGGAAUAGCUCACGUGGUGAAGAGGUGGCAAAAGAAGGACAUAACGAUUAACAUCCUGGGUCUAACCGAAUGCCACUGUAACAAGCGUAAGGAACUCAAGUGACUGUUAUAUUGGCAUCUGAAAUAUACAUAUGCCAUAUUUAUCUAUUGAAUUUUCGCCUACCCUAAUAAAUUAAGGAAAAGAAACUGCCACAAAGUGUCCAUUUCUAUCAUUUUCACCAGAAAGUUUAUAUAUGAAAAAAGGCUCAUUUGAAGGAAAUAAAGAAAUGUGGUUUAUACAGCAUACUAUUUAAAUAUUGUUUUAGAAAAUACUAGUGGGUAAGUAUCUGGAUAUUCAGAAUGACUGCU